AUACCUUCUCGGCCUUUUGGCUAUGAUCAAGUGUAGUAUCUGUUCUUAUCAGUGUGACAACUGAUAUGGAUCCAACUGGAUCCAACAAUGUCACAUCAAUUUUUGUUUGGGGGAGUUGUGGUUUAGAGCUUGCUCGGACCCUCUCCAUGCGUCGCCUCAUCCUUACACUGUCGGUGUGAGUGGCGCACCCUUC
rfam:Eimeria tenella Houghton genomic scaffold, Eth_scaff2